GAUUCACUAGCUCAGUUGGCAGAGCACUUGACUUUUAAUCAAGGUGUCCGGGGUUCGAAUCCCCGGUGAGUCACCA
rnacentral:tRNA from 1 species